rnacentral:tRNA from 1 species
GGUUCCAUGUUGUAAUGGUUAGAACUCAAGACUAUGUAUGUUGCGAUCCGAGUUCAAAUCUCGGUGGAACGU